rnacentral:lncRNA from 1 species
CUGAUGUCAAGUCCAUUGAGAUCACCGGUUAGACGCUAUAUAUAAAAAUUUAUAUGUAAAUGUAGCGACCACUCUACGGAUUGCGUACUGAUGAAGAUGUGGAGUUGUUCUUCCUUCAUGUCUCCUUAUUUGGCCUAUUAACCGCUAAUGUAAUAAUAUUCCUGUUUUUGUACUGAGGUUCUGUUCAAAUCUUUUAUCUUGCUAUUUCCUUCUUUUUGCCUUUCUAUGUUCCAUCAGUUUCUCUUCGAGCCUUUUGAGUGAGAGACUUUUUGCUACUUUCUGUUCUCAUGUUCUGCAUUUUCAGUUAUAAGAUUCAAAAACAUAAUUAACAAAUCUAGGCUGUUCAGAUGGAGAAUGGAGUGCUUACUGUUACUGUUCCAAAAGAAGAGGUGAAGAAGCCUGAUGUCAAGUCCAUUGAGAUCACCGGUUAGACGCUAUAUAUAAAAAUUUAUAUGUAAAUGUAGCGACCACUCUACGGAUUGCGUACUGAUGAAGAUGUGGAGUUGUUCUUCCUUCAUGUCUCCUUAUUUGGCCUAUUAACCGCUAAUGUAAUAAUAUUCCUGUUUUUGUACUGAGGUUCUGUUCAAAUCUUUUAUCUUGCUAUUUCCUUCUUUUUGCCUUUCUAUGUUCCAUCAGUUUCUCUUCGAGCCUUUUGAGUGAGAGACUUUUUGCUACUUUCUGUUCUCAUGUUCUGCAUUUUCAGUUAUAAGAUUCAAAAACAUAAUUAACAAAUCUAGGCU